rnacentral:tRNA from 3 species
GCCAGCGUAGCUCAAUGGCAGAGCAACGGUUUUGUAAACCGUAGGUUGUGGGUUCAAGUCCCUCCGCUGGCUCAA